CAGAGGGGGCAAGCGUUAUUCGGAAUUAUUGGGCGUAAAGGGCGCGUAGGCGGCCUGACAAGUGAAAGGUGAAAUCCCUCGGCUUAACCGAGGAACUGCCUUUCAGACUGUUUGGCUUGAGACCGGGAGAGGUGAGUGGAAUUCCCAGUGUAGCGGUGAAAUGCGUAGAUAUUGGGAGGAACACCAGUGGCGAAGGCGGCUCACUGGACCGGUACUGACGCUGAGGCGCGAAAGCGUGGGGAGCAAACGGGAUUAGAUACCCCGGUAGUCCACGCCGUAAACGAUGAGUGCUUGGUGUAGCGGGUAUCGACCCCUGCUGUGCCGAAGUCAACACAUUAAGCACUCCGCCUGGGGAGUACGGUCGCAAGGCUG
rnacentral:rRNA from 1 species